CAGUCUCCUACUAAAAAUGUAACAGUCUUACAAAAUAGCAUGGCGAGAAAAUGUAAGGUUGUUACAUUUAUUUAAAGCUUUUUUGCGGCAAAACAGUUAGUUCUCGUAUCGCGAGAAAUAGCCUACUGUAGAUCAGCAUACUUCACUGCAUGACUUCACUGUAGUCUACUGCCAGAGAUUGUGCGAUCUAUAAACCGUUCUCUUUUAAUGGGAUCUACCAGAAAUGUCAGAAGUCGUGGACUUUGAGGAGGCAAUUAAGGCUGGCCAGCGGCUAAUAGAAGAGUUUGAGGCAGCUGCUAGAAAACAAGAAAAAGAGGGGACAUCCUCUCCAUCUGCUGUGCCAGUGGAAUGGCAGACAAGGGACAGUGGUGGGGACAGGAUU